UACGUAGGGUGCGAGCGUUAAUCGGAAUUACUGGGCGUAAAGCGUGCGCAGGCGGUGAUGUAAGACAGUUGUGAAAUCCCCGGGCUCAACCUGGGAACUGCAUCUGUGACUGCAUUGCUGGAGUGCGGCAGAGGGGGAUGGAACUCCGCGUGUAGCAGUGAAAUGCGUAGAUAUGCGGAGGAACACCGAUGGCGAAGGCAAUCCCCUGGGCCUGCACUGACGCUCAUGCACGAAAGCGUGGGGAGCAAACAGG
rnacentral:rRNA from 1 species